rnacentral:rRNA from 1 species
UUCAUUUAAAGAGUGCGUAACAGCUCACUAGUCGAGGAGUUUGGCGUGGAUAAUAAUCGGGCAUCAAGCAAUUUACCGAAGCUAUGGGAUCAGUAAUGAUCGGUAGGGGAGCAUUCCACUCUGCGUCGAAGGUGAAGCGUGAGCUUUGCUGGAGCGUGUGGAAAAGCAAAUGUAGGUAUAAGUAACGAUAAAGGGGGUGAGAAACCCCCUCGCCGAAAGACUAAGGUUUCCUGAUCAACGCUAAUCGGAUCAGGGUUAGUCGGGUCCUAAGGCUCAGCCGAACGGUGAGGCCGAUGGCAGAACAGGUUAAUAUUCCUGUACUACCUUAAGGAGUGACGUGGAGACGGAGGAGUGACAGCGCCGCGGACUGACGGAAUAGUCCGUUGAAGGGUGUAGAUGUUGAUUAUCCCAGGCAAAUCCAGGAUAAGAGUCGAACCUGAUAGUAUACCAAAUUCUUCGGAAUAAGGUAAUAGUGCGUGUAAGCAUACUCCCAAGAAAAUCCGCUAAACUUAAUCUUUAAGGUACCCGUACCGCAAACGGACACACGUAGUCGGGUUGAAUAUACUAAGGCGCU